UUUUUUUCAUUUUUAAAGUUUUACUGAAGUAUGGUUGAUUUACAAGGUUGUAAUCAUUUCUGCUAUACAACAAACUGAUUCUAUUAUACAUAUACACAAAUCCACCCUCUUUCAUAUCCUUUUCCCACAUAGAUUAUCUCAGAAUUUUGGGUAGAGUUCUCGGUGCUAGAGAGCGGGUCCCCAUUUGCCUGUCAUUCCACAAACCUCAGUGUGCAUACGCCAAUCCCAAACCCCCAGGCCAUCCCUCCCCACCGCCUGGCGCCUUUGGUAACCAUAGGUUUGUUUUUAAAAUCUGUGAAUCGGCUUCUGUUCUGCAAAUAAGUUCAUGUGUACUCUUUUUUUUUUUUAGAUUCCACAUAUAAGUGCUAUCACACGAUUUCUUUUCUUUCAUUAUUUCCAGUAAAGGGAACUCGGCACAGAGAGAAGCCUCUACUUGGUUACCAUAUUCCAACAGCCCUUUUAGGUAGGUGCUUUGGAUCCUGAAUUCAUUUUCCCAUGGAACUGUUAUACAUGAUCAUGAGUUCCACGUCCCACUCAUAAUAUUACCGGGCUCAGAGUCUAAGCACAUGAAUUGGACUACAUACUAAGCACAGAGUGGGACUAUACGAAGUAGAAAGGGAUCUAAAAUGCUGGCCAGACCUUGAGAAUGGGACAGGCUCUCAAGAAGCCCUGGCCUGGAUUCCUCAGUCUGACUGCCUCUAGCACUGGGCCUAAACCUUUGUAUCCACUGUCUCAUUACUUCUCAAACCUAAGAUCAGAGUGCACAAGUCCAGAAAGAGUGAACCCAGCACAGAAAAGUCAAGUCACUUGAGGAAGGAAGCCCAGUGAACCCCUAGAGCUCAAACACGCACUAGUCUGUCUGUGUGUCUCCAAACUUGUACACCCAUGACAUAUGGAAAGAGAUAAGUCCCACUCCAGGUUCCAAAUGACUUCACUCAUUCAUUAGAAAACUAUUUUUGGGAGGUACUCAAAACGAUAGUUUGGGGAUAUGAAAUAAGUAGGCAGGUGCUCUGAGCUUAAUAAGGAUGAUAUCAGAUUAGAUGGCCAGUGAAGACAGCUUUGGGAGUAACAUUUAAGCUGAGACAGAAAGGACACUUAGACAUCUAGGAAGCAAAUAAUUAUGGGUAGAGUGGAAGGGGUUGUGUGUGCAAAGGGCCUGAGGCACAAAGGAGCUUAGUGCCUUCUAGGAAACUGAAAGACCUGCUGGAGGUAGAGAGUGGGGGAAGAGUGGCAAGGGGAAAGUAUGUAAAAAUAGGCAAGGUGAGAUAAGGAGUAUCUUGAAAGGGCAGAAGAAUUUCAUAUUCGAAAAUAAGGAGUUCCCCCCAUGACACAGUGAGUUAAGAAUCUGACUGCAGCAGUGCAGGUUACUGUGGAGGUGUGGGUUCAAUCCCCUGCCCAGUGUAGUGGGUUAAAGGAUCCUGCAUUGCUGCAGCUUCAGCUCAGAUUCAAUCCCUGGACAGGGAACUUCCAAAUGCCACAAGUGUGGCCACUAAAAAAAAAAAAAAGAAGAUAAGGGACCUAUGUUAGAUUACUAGAUUCAGGGAGCUAUAGAUCUUAGACAAAAAAUUUGUAUUUGUGAAUCACCCAUAAAUCAAGUAUUUUUACGUCAGAUACUACCCAUAAAUUGAGCAAGAAAAAUUAAUGACAGACUUGUGUAAUAUUGUAAGGAAAUGAUUUUAUGAUAAAUUAGAUUAUCUUUCAGCAAGUUUGAAUCCCCACCCCCACCCCAGUGAGGUGGAGAACGCUUCUCUGUGCCCCACUGACUUUGAGCUUGGCCAGGUGACUUGAUUCAGCCAACAAGACUGAAGAGAAUGGGGUAUGAGCACCAGGGGGCAGUGACCCACCAAGAGAAGGAUAUGCCCCUUCAUUGCAGGCCUGGAAUGACCACACAUCAAACUGACCUGCACCUGCCUUCAGCCAGGAGGCAAGCGCAGCCAGCAGACUGUACAAAUCAAGGAGGUCCAGCCAGGAACUGCCAAACUCUGGUUCACGAGUCAUGUGCACAAGUGUGAUUGUGCAAAUAAAUGCUUGGCAUUAUAAUUUACUGGUUCUGGGGUGAUUUAUUAUGCAGCUGUGUUAUAGCCAUAGCUAAGGUCAAGUUGUAACAUUAAAAAUUGCCCUCUUUAUGCUCCCAAACACACAUGCACAUAUGCACCUGCAAACACACACACAUACACAUUUACACAGAUGCACACAUAUUUGUUCUACUCUGGACAACAGAUGAAGAAGGAGAAAUAAUGUCUAGGAGCCCAAGCAGCAUGUAAAGUACAGUCCUUGUCUCUAUUGAUGGCUAAUUAGACCUUGACUUUGUAAUUGAAUUAAACCAGGUUGCUAUUACUGACUGCACUGCUCUGGGCUCCCUUAUAAAUCCAUUAUAUAGGAUAUUUCAGAUUUUGUGCAAAAUUAUUCACUCAACAAAAGGAAGGAGAUGAGUAAAAUGCAGUGCAAAAUAGAACUGCUUUGAGAGCAGACACAGUCUCAAAUUUACAGCUUGGGAAAAUCUCCAUAUUUUUUUUUAAGAGUCACAUCUGUGGCAUAUGGAAGUUCCCUGGGCUAGGGGUUGAAUCGAAUCUGAGCUGCAGCUGCUGGCUUACGCCACAGGCACAUCAAUGCCAGAUCCAAGCUGCAUCUGCAACCUACGCUGCAGCUUGAGGUUAAAGGGAUCUUUUAACUUACUGAAUGAGGCCAGGGAUCUAACCCAUAUCCUCCCAGAUACUAGUUGGAUUCUUAACCCCCUGAGACACAACAGGAACCCUCCAUCUUUUCUAGCCCAUGUCUUCAGGGCCAAUCAGAUGCUGGCCCUUAGAGCUCUUCCAUGGGUCCCUUGUGUAGAGCCGGGGGAUUUUUAUGUUGCUAUAAUGCUUUCUACUUCUUAAGGGCUUUUUUGAAGUAAAUCUUUUAACAGCGAGUUUUUACUACAUAGACUCCAGGACACUGAAAGGCACCUACAGGAGAGAAAAUUGCAUUGAUGUAUGUAACCAUUGAACUGGUCUAAGAUCUGGAUGUGAUUUUUUAAAAAAAAAAAAAAAAAAAAUCUAACUGAUGGCUCUUAAACAUUCUUAUUCCCUAAAAAUUUAAAUACAUUAAAAUACAGAAUUCAUGAAAUCUAGAGUCACUUACACUGCACAGGGAGUUCUUAAAAUAGGACAAUUAAAUUUCUUGUUCUCAGAGAUAAGAGUUUACAGAAUUUUAGAGUUGAAAUAGGCUUCAGAGCUCCUGCAACCUAGUAUAUCUCAAAUUUUAUGGGUUAGGAAUGCCUUUGAGGAUCUAAUGAAACCUAUGAAAUGCCUGCCCAGAAAAAAUUUCAAAUCAAAAUUUAGUACAUACUUACAGGGAGUUCAGACCAUUCUGAAAAUGCUUUCAUGAGUUCAUGGUCUUCAGAAUAAGAGCUGUGAUCUUGACCACGUUCUGGAUAAGAACCAUUCUUCCUGUCCUAUCCGUGUAACUCCCCAUUGCCCUGCAGGCUCAGUGGCAGCUGAAAGCAUGGAGAGAGGCCAGACCACUCCAAGGUUCCUGAUCGUCAGCUUGCUUCCGGUUUAUUUCAAACACUCAUAAGUAUUUAGAGAGAAAUCGACUAUGCUGUGGUGUAUCAGUCACCCAGCUUUCAAUAAUAGUCAACUUCUGGCUAGCUUGUUACAUCUAUCCCCCUGACCCUCACUUUUUUGGCUGAAGUGUUUUAAAACAAACUCACGGCAUCCUCCUGUCUUAUCCAUGAAAUCUGCAAUGCACAUCUCUAGAUGGUAAGGACAGACCACUAUCCCAAUGAGGAGACAUUCCUGGGACAAAGAAGAGAAAUCCCUCUUAUCAUCUAAUUCCAAAUUCAUAUUAAAAUGUUUCUUCUUAAAGAUUUUUUUUUAAACAGUUGGCUGGUUCAAAUCAGGAUCCAAAAAUUUUGCAUACUUAACUUGCUUGUUAUAUCUCUUAACUCUCUUCUAUUUAAUAUCACUUCCUGAAUUCUCUUUUCAUGGAUUUUUUUUGGUAAGAAUUCUUAACUUUUUUUCUUGAAGAAUCACCUGCAUUCUGGGUUUGGCCAAUAAUGUACUCUCACUAAAUUUCUUAAACUCUUGCUGAAUUUCUUCUUCCAUCCUAGGAGGCCCUAAAAUUGGGGAAUUAGAGACAGGUGAUCUUUAUUUUGUGCUUUAUUCUGUUUAAUCUAAACAGGAGCUAAAGUUUAUGAGAAUCCCUUCACACCAUGGAGAAUGGGAUCAUUGAAAGAGAUGUUUUUAUCUUUCAAUCUGAACUUCUCUCUUGUCCUUUAUAUUUUAAGUGUUUCAUUAUUUCAUUGAUUCAUUACUCUUCUAAGGAACAGACCUUUCCUGAUAAAGUGACCCUCUUUGUCCUGCAUACACUCCGUUUGAAGAACAGGUGGGCUAUAAUAAAGUGUAUUCCAAAUCUCGCACAGAGACAAUAUGCGUGGAAGUGUCUGGCACAGUCCCCAACAAAGAGCCAGGUCUUAAAUGCUGGCUGAAGCUGAACUGAAAGAAACCUCAAUGAUCAGGCCAAAUAACUGUAUACCAGGUAUUCAAAUAAAUAAUCCGUUUCCGGAUUAAGGAAAACAACUCAUCACAAUAUACAUAGCAAGAUAGUCUUUGUGUUGACAAUAGAAUAAGCUUCAUCUCUUCCCAUUGUCGGUCAGAGACAAUGUCAACUUCUCCAGAACUCUGUGCUUAUCUGGUACCAAAAACUAAUAAUCAAACCCAACAAACAGCAAUCAAAAAAAUUUCCCAGUGAAAAUGCUGAGGACUCAGAGGACAACUCAGGAAGGCAAAAAUGUAUCUUAGUUCUUUCACAUCUUCUGGUUGCAGAAAAAAAAUGAAUAUUCCACAUACUGAUCACCCAUCUGUCACUGCCCAUGUCAGCCCAGAUUAUUCCUCCAAUAGCUGCAUAUGCAAACAUAAAUAUGGAACACCAGGCUGUGAGGUAUGCAGUGUUAAAUGCAUCUCAAGGUUGAUUAUGAUCUUAGCUGGAGAACAUAAACAGAAAUGAUUUUUUUUUUUGGUACUCUCUCAGGUUAACUUAAAAUCUGCCACUCAGGAAACUAAGGAUUAUUAGUAUCACUUAGAUAGACAAAACCUAGUGAACUCUGAUGUGAGGACUGCAUUUGGCAGAACAUAAGCGUAUCAGCUGUCAGCACCUCUUAUUUUGCAAUUAAUCAACAACCCGCCUGUAAGAGUUCUCUUAUUGAAUUUUCUUGUUGUUUAACUUUUUGUGCUUCCCAAGUAUAUUUCCAAACUCCCUCAGAGCAGAGUCAGUGAAAGAAGAGGGGUUCUCCGAACUUUCAUUCUUUCAUUAGACGAACAGUUAAAACACUAUGGAAGUUCUCUUGUGACACAGCAGAUUAAGGACCUGGCAUUGUCACUGCAGCGGCAUCAGUCACUGCUGUGGUGUGUAUUCAAUCCCUGGCCUGGAAACUUCCGCAUGCCCUAGGCAAGGCCAUAUAGAGCCCCCCUAUGUGUGGGACUUCAAGCCCCUUCAAGGAGAUAGAACUCAAAGGCCCUGGCCAAGACAAGAAUUGCCCGACUCUUGUCAUCACCCCACCGUUCUGUCUGUAAUGUCCCUUCCUCCACCUUGAGCAGACUGACCUACUCUUCCCUGUCCCCUACUAGGAAAGGUAUGUGAUCCACUCCUCAACCCAAGGGCCUUGUAAAUCUCCAGCCAACCACUAAGUGUAUCCUAAGACCUCUUCUCUCCCUAUAAAAAUAGACAUGACCAUGUGCUCAUCAUCAGCUCUCCCUGUUCAUCAGGUAGUCGUCCCACUGUGCCUACAGUGCCUCUCAUCUCAAUAAACUCUUCUUUCUCUUCACCUGGCUCUGCUGGAAAAUUCCUUUUCUGACCCUCGUGCAUGGACCAUGACAUGAAAACAGGAGACCAAGCUUAGCAAACAGGAGAGAACAGCAUAAAAAGCCACAAUUCCUGUCCUCCACAGACUUACUUCUUUGAAUCCCUCCUUGGCUCAUUCCUGGGAACUGAGGAGAAGCUCCAGAGCUUCCUGUGCUCCAAGAACAAGGCAGGAGCCCCCAAGAUGAACUCUUU
rnacentral:lncRNA from 1 species